UAGCCUAGUGAUUAAGGCUACGGAUCGCCAAUCCGGAGACGGCGGGUUCGAUUCCCGU
rnacentral:tRNA from 1 species